AAAAGUCACUUCAUUAGUAUUUGAAAGUUAAUUCCCCAUAUGGGAUUAAUUGUAUAGAAACACCAAUCAGCACAUCUUCCCUGCCCUGUGUGUUUGUUGCAAAGGAUCCAUACUAAAUAUGAUUUAUGUUUGAAAAUAACAGAGCAACAUUUACAUUUUCAGCGGUCCAACACAUGCUUUAUUUUGCACUUUAAACUAACCUUUUUAUUGCAACAGGUUCCUUUUAAAUGAUCCAGUGUAAUAACUACUGCUUGUGUCUUCUAUGUCUCACAUUAUGUGUUCUUUUAAAUUGUGGUAUAUAGCCUGAAUCAGACAUCAUGGACAAAAGGUUUUUACCUGUAUUACAAAGGGCUCUUGGAGACUGACCGGUCUAAAGGUUUGCCAUGCCUUUAAAACAUGGUAUAGUAUAAAUUUUUUUAAGUCUCUGAGAGUUCUGAAAGAUUCAGGUGAAACCAUGUCUGUUUAAUCUGGUCCAGAUGUUUGUUCAAUUUCUAUAAGAUUUAAAUUGAUGCAGCAUCAUCUCAGAUUAGUUAAUGGUAGUUUUAUACAAAUAGUUGAGUUAUGAGCGCGCUAUAUAAAUGGAUCCUUUCUUUAAAUACAAUACUAUAGUAGAUUAAAGUAAUGAUGUUAAUUAAGAAAAUGUAUACAUAAGAAUCCCUAAAAUAAAUCUAAACUAAAAUUGGUAUACCUUCCAAUAAUAUGUUCUGAAUACAGCUGUUAACUGUUUAUUCUGUGUAAAUGGUGAUUGUGAUAAUGUGUGAUAAGUGUGCAGUUUAACUUGAAAGUGGUUUAAUUUAUAUGUUGCUGUGUUGUUUUAAAUUAUAUGUGAAUCAGUUUGUCACAGUCUAGUGAUACUGAUAAGAAUGACAGCCAAAUAACCUAGCAAAUAACUGUUUUAUUAGUUGUUGAAUACUAGCGUUUUGGCCAAGAAUAGUUGGAGAUUUGGAGGGGUUAGUUUAAGAUUGCUUUUAUAUUGUGUCUAUCCGUGUUUCCUAGGAGGGAGACAGAGUGUGUAGUUGUGUGCCCAUAAAUGUGAUUUCUGUAUUGGCAUAUCUGCUGG